CAUGCUGCAUCUUCUUUCAAUGUAUGGAUUUGGAUUUUUUUAUUUAGAUUUGUGAGCUGGAAAUGCGCAUAUGCAAUACACUAUAUUCAAUGCAUUUGGAUUUUUUUAUCGCUCUGUAUUUAUUUGUUUGAAAUGCAGAAAUAAAACGGACGACACAAGAAUGGAAAGACAUUUUGGUUUUACUUGAAGUUUCCAGGUCCACUUGGAUUCAGCGCACUAUAGAGGCAGUCCUCAGGUUGUUCAUGUGCUUUCGCUGUGGAGAGUCAGUGGAAGAAGACAUUAAUCUGUCUGUGGAGGAAACAACACCAGCCUUGGAAGCAUUUAUAAACCGGAGUUCUACAAGACCCUGGUAUUGUUGAUAUGGCUGCUGCAUUACCAAAUUAUCCAAAACAUGCCUUUACGAACCUUUGGAUAAGUUUCCAUUACUCAAUGGUGGCAGUUGUUACCAGGUAAUGCUGAACUACUGCUAAUUAUUUUAUUUUUUUUUAUUUACUUGGUUUAGUCCCCUGAUGGAUCCUUCAGUACUUUAAGACUAUAACGUUUUUCAUUUAUCCCCAGCACUAUUUUUUGUUCUGGCACAAUGCCCUUGCUCUUUAUGCACUUUUUUUAUAUUUGAUCUUUUUUCCUUUUUUCCUUUCACUUCUGCACUUGAACUAAGUUGUUUUUUGUAUUGUCUUUUUAAUUUAACUGAAGUGAUAUUUUCCUAUAAUCAUUAUUGUAAUUUAAUUGUCCUGUUCUGAUGGUAUUACGUUUCCAAAAUGAUGGUACUUUAUACUAUGCACUUACACGAUUUACUCUAUUCUAGUGUGUGCACAUUUUAAUGCAAGUAUCUCAAAUAGGACAUAUUGAUUAUACUAAUAUACUGUAAAUAAGGUGCCCUACCCACUUUCAAAAAUAAGAUUCUCUUAAUAUAAAGUUUUUCAUUCAUUCAUCUUCUACCGCUUAUCCGAACUACCUCGGGUCACGGGGAGCCUGUGCCUAUCUCAGGCGUCAUCGGGCAUCAAGGCAGGAUACACCCUGGACUGAGUGCCAACCCAUCGCAGGGAGCACACACACUCUCAUUCACUCAAUCAUACACUACGGACAAUUUUCCAGAGAUGCCAAUCAACCUACCAUGCAUGUCUUUGGACCGAGGGAGGAAACCGGAGUACCCGGAGGAAACCCCAGAGGCACGGGGAGAACAUGCAAACUCCACACACACAAGGUGGAGGCGGGAAUCGAACCCCGACCCUGGAGGUGUGAGGCGAACAUGCUAACCACUAAGCCACCGUGCCCCCAUAUAAAGUUUUUAAUAUUUUUAAUAUUAAUAUGAUGGAUUUGAAAUGAGUCUAAUCAUGGGCAUUUUUGCAAUAUUAUGAUAAAUUCCUCUUUAUUUCUGUCUGCUUAAUUUUAUUUUCUCUGUUUUCACAACCUUAAAUUAAGCUUUUUGUGUGUGUCUUUAUUUAUCUGUCCUUUUAGGUUGUGAAUGUUUUUGUAGGCCAAACUAAACAAAUUCAUGUAAAUAUA